GACGUAGGGCGCGAGCGUUGUCCGGAUUUAUUGGGCGUAAAGAGCUCGUAGGCGGCUUGUCGCGUCGACUGUGAAAACCCGUGGCUCAACCAUGUGGUCUGCAGUCGAUACGGGCAGGCUAGAAUUCGGUAGGGGAGACUGGAAUUCCUGGUGUAGCGGUGAAAUGCGCAGAUAUCAGGAGGAACACCGAUGGCGAAGGCAGGUCUCUGGGCCGAUACUGACGCUGAGGAGCGAAAGCGUGGGGAGCGAACAGG
rnacentral:rRNA from 1 species